GCUGAUUUCAGUGGUACCAUUGGUUUUGUUAUAUUAUCAAGAUUUCCUGAGAAAAGGCAUAAGUAAAUUCCGGAACUUUUAAACGCGUACCCAGAAGAUAAGAAAGAUACUAUAUGCAAUUGUCUUGGAAGAGAUGCUGCUUGUAAUCAUGUUUAACUUCAUUGUACAGCAUUUUCUUUGAUCAAAAUUUUAAACAAAAAAUCUA